UUCUGUUUAAAGCGUCGUCGCUGCCGCCUGGGGGAGCGAGGGUGUGCAGGCGGGUGGAGGCUGGGGGGCGGUCCCCGCCCCAGAUGCCCGCCCCGCUGGAACCCGCCGCGGCCGCGCUGGGCCCGCUCCAGAGAGCCCUCACCUGGGACCGCUGGCCGCCCCGCCGGAUUCCUCCGGGCGGGGCUGGAAGGCCCGCGCCCACCUCCGCCCGGCAGCAUCAAAGUGGGAAACCGAGGCUGGGGAGCUGAGAGAAGGCCAGCGGAGCAACGGGGUGGGGAGGCGGAGAGAGAGCAUCCAGAGGCGGAGGCGGGAGGCCACGGAACCCAGCAGUGGGCACCCUCAUGUGGGUGAUGAACAUUCACCUAAGUCUGGAGCCACAGGAGCUGGAGCUGGAAGGGGCGCUGCCCUGGGGAGCUGCGGCCUUCAGCACAAUCCAGUGGAACCUGUCCUCUUGCAGCCUGCGGGGAGGGAGCUGCGGAAAUAAAUAUUACCCCAGUCUCCUCCUGUCCAGCUGGGCCCCCCAGGGGCCGAACCCCAAAGGAAGCCCGAGGGCAGGGAGGCUGGGGAGGGAACAGAGCAGGCAAGGUGAGCCUCGGGGCAUGAGGCAGGGCGGACAAGGAUGCAGAGUGGAUCCGCAGGGCUCCUGCGACAGUCCAGCACAGGUAGUGUCCAUGGCCUGUCCACCUUUUCUCUCCGCAUCUCCUGUGUCACCACACCCAGCCACCCCAUCUUCCUAGAAUCGACCAGCAUGCCUCCUAGAUGUAAGUUCUCCUGCAAGUCCAAGGAGACCAUGACCUCCGUGGUCAGUCCAGAUCACUUCUGUUGCCUAACGGGUCUCCCCACUGCCAUUUCUGCCUGGUCCUGUCCCUCCUCCACCUGGUGCCAGAGUCACCUCUUAAAACCUAAUUCCAGGGCUUCCCUGGUGGCUCAGUGGUUAAGAAUCCACCUGCCAAUGCAAGGGACAUGGGUUUGAUCCUUGGUCCGGGAAGAUCCCACAUGCCGCAGAGUAACUAAGCCUGUGCACCACAACUACUGAGCCUGCGCUUCAGCGCCCGCGCUUCAGAGCCCGCGAGCCACAACUACUGAAGCCUGCGCGCCUAGAGCCCGUGCUCCACAGCAAGAGAAGCUACUGCAAUGAGAAGCCUGCGCAGCGCAACGAGGAGUAGCCCCCGCUCGCUGCAACUAGAGAAAGCCCGCGUGCAGCAACAAAGACCCAAUGCAGCCAAAAAUAAAUAAAAACAAACAAACAAACCUCCCCCCUUAAUUCCAGGGACUUCUCUGGUGGCGCAGUGGUUAAGACUCUGCACUCCCAAUGCAGGGGGCCCGGGUUCGAUCCCUGGUCAGGGAACUAGAUCCCACAUGCAUGCCGCAAGUAAGGGUUCACAUGCCACAACCAAGGAGCCCGCCUGCUGCAACUACGAGCCAGCACAACCUAAUUAAUUAAUUAAUUAAUUAAUUUAAAAAAACCCAACAAAAACCUAAUUCCAACCAUGAUCCUUCUCGGCUUAAAAAACCUCCAACCAUUAAUUAAAAAAUAAAAAAACAGCAACAACAAAACAAAACCGUCCAGCAGCUUCCGUCUGCUCACCUGGGCCUGCAGGGUCCUCGGCGUGGCUGGCCUGAUCCUUCAUGUCUUGGGGUCCUGCCUCCAGAAGGCAUUUCUCUAAAACAGCUGCCCCCGGCCCUUUGGGUCACAUCCCCGCUUUGUCUCCUGCUGGUCUUCAGCACAGCCUGAAACAUUCUUCUUCGUGGGCUUGGUUACUUACGGUGCAUCUCACCGCCCUCCCAGGGAGGUACAACCUUGCCUCCAGACCCUAGUACAGGGCCUGGCACGCAGAGGGUGCUGAAGUUUGUUGACUGACUGAAUGGACUGAGACCACGGAACUCUGAAAGACGAAACAAUUAGACUUGCAUCAUCUGGUGAGUAAGACGUGGGGAUUGAAUUUAAGCCGGCCUGAUUCAAAACCUACACAGUGCUCCUGGAAGGGAGGAAUGAGAGGGGUCCCACAAAUGUCCUAAAGAUAGGAGGGCAAUGAGGGGCUUUGCUGGAAUGUGGCAAGGAAGAACCUUGGGACCACAGCCCCGGGGAAUGAUCAGACUGCUUAAAUGUUAGGGAAGGGUUCCUUUGUGCAGAGGGGUUCUUGAGGCCCAGAGAUGGCAAGGGACUUGGCCAAGGUUGCAUGGCUGGUUAACGGCAGAGCCAGAACUCAAACCCAGGGCUCCCAAUGCCUCCUUAGGGGAACUGGCUGGACGAGGCAGCAGCAGCCUGCGUAAGGGAAGUUUCAUUUCAGGAGGCAGCAUAACACGGUGGUGGUUUUCUGGCAUUCGAUCUUCCUGCACCAGCUGUGUGCAUUGGGGAAAUUCUUCAUCUCCUCUAGGCCUCCUUUCCUCAUUUUUAGACAAGGAAGCAAAGGAGCUGACAUUCAUGAAGCCCUUUGUUGGAUGCUGGGCACACGAAACGUCAGGUCAAUUCACAUUGCAGUGAAAGACAAGAAGAAAAGUCGACCCCUUUUGGAGGCCUGUUGCCGUGAUGAUAAAAUAAAUGCCAGUAACGAUUUUCAGAACCUCGGCUACACAGCAUAGGCCACUCGUUGCCAUGUGAACCUGACCCACCAGAUAAGGCAGUCAAGGGGGACCUGUAACUGAGCUGUGUGUGAAUAUGCUGCCGUGGGGUGUGCUGUUACUCAGGGACAGGCCUAACUACUGCCACAUCCACUGUGCCACAGGUCCCGUGGGGGCGGCACCAAUGACCUAGAUAGACGCCUGCACACAGUGGACUGUGGUAUGGGAGAGGACGCUAAACUUAAGAACGCAAGUCUUUUCUAAUGACUGCCCUUUGCACUGGAGGGAGAUUCUGUCUCGAUCGUCCAUGGCUAUUCACUGUACCAAUAUCCUUGAGAAGAGAGUCCAGGACAAAGGCAGUCAGUUGCCUCGCUUGCAAAAUGCGCAGAAACUCAAGAGAUCUCUGGAGAAUUGUCUUACAGUUAUAUCCACCCCUCAUUUCUACACUGUCUUGGCUUUGGGCGAAUUUUCCCAUGAGUUCACCACUCUGUUGGCAAAUCUGAUCGACAGAGGCUAGGACCAAAUCUGUUCAAUUUGUGUCAUACAGCAUUUAAUUAAAGCUACUACCAACAGAACUACAAGCAGCAGAAUGAAGCCAGCUUGCAGUACGGACCUCAACCAUGCCUCCCAGAUGAACAAAUCCAUAAAGCAUCAUAUCUACCUUAGAAAGCCGGGUGGCUCGCUCCUUAGUUCUCUGCAUCAACCUUUCCACCUUGGCCCAGAAGGCAUUCAGGAGAGCCUCAAUUCACUGACCAAGGUUGCUAUGGAUGAUAGAUUUCUCUUGUACUUCUUCCUUGCAGACUGGAGUCUGUGCAAUGAAUAUAUCUGCUGUACCUGGAUUAAUGCUUCCAGCCAUGAGUAAGAAGGUCCUUUUUCUCUGACCCAGGAGUCUUCUGUCUUCUGCCAGCAUGCAUGAACCUGUGGCAGGCUCAUGGGUUAGUUUGCAAGUAGGCUAAAGUCAAGGAUAAAUUUCAAGUCACUCUGUUUUCUGGAGAGAGACAAGUUAAUGUGUGACUUCCACAUCAAUCAUACAGUCUCAAGGGUACUAGUGUUGCUUCUGGGAAAAAACAUGGCGCCCCCAAGUGGGACUUACAUCAGCUAGGGGGGGCCCAGGUUGACAGUGCCUCCCUUCAAGUCCAUAGGCCUUAGGGCUUCCAGCCCAAUCCAAAUAAUUAAGUCUAGUCCUUGUUUUUGGAGGGCUUGGCUAAGGGCAGUUAGUCCUGUUUGUCCAUGCCACCAGCCAGAUGCCAUUCGUCUACUCCAUGGCAUGACUGAGUGGUGAUAGCUACAGGAUUGGGCCUGGGAUCUGUAUCUGGAGGUGAUGUUGUUGACAGGUAUUUUAUGUAGGAGGUACAGGAGCUGAGGCUACCCCUUGCUGCUUCCAAUCUCUUGGUAAGGUUAAGCAAAAUGGCAAUCAAAUCAAGGUCAGAACUGUCCAGUGGAGCGUGGCAGACUCAGCAGUCAGUUAAAUUUAAGUCACUUGAAAUAGUUUGGGCGAGUUGGACCAAGAUGUUGUCCUCAGUGAAGAAGGCUCCAAGUGGUUUGGAAAGACAAAGACUAUAAGUGUCUUUCUUUCCCCCAUUUCUCCCAGGGUCUGAGGUGUCCCCUCCCCAAGUGCCAACGUUGUUAUUCUCCCUCCACUGUCACAAAAUCGAUGUGUUCUAUUCUAGUAGUUAGAACUUCACCUUUUUUCCAAUCACCUCCUACUUACACUUUUCAUCUGGAAGGGUCAGGUGCAAGAAGGACAAGGACAUUUUUAUAAAACAUACAGGAGCCCACUAUGUCCCCCACUCUACGUGUAGACCGCUGUUGGGGGACUCAAAGAGAGAGGUGUGCAUGCCAAGCGCUCCAGAUAUUCUCAUGAUCUAGGACAGUGUCAGUCAAAUAAGAGAAUCCAGUGGUUGAGAAUCCCCUAGGCCCCUUUCUGACUGGGCUAUCACCCAGAGUUGCACCAAUCAGGCUGACCUGGGGUUGCUGUUAAGGGAAAGAGAGAAGCAUUAUGUCCAGGAAUGGUGAACAUGGAACCCUAAAUUUUCAAAACUGGUCUAUAUAAACCCCACCCCUCUCAUCUUGAUCAUUAUGAAGGACACGGCCUAGAUGAGAUGGUCCCAUCCUGGGGACAGCCACUUUCAGUUACUGAACUGCUGUACUAAGGUGUGUGGACCAGGAGGGAGAGCCAGAAAUCUCUUUGAGUUAAUUUUUGAGGAGCUAUUUCAAUGCUCAACAGUACCACAUGCUUGUGGAUGACAGUGAGGAUAGAAGGACCACCAAAUACCUAGACUAUCAGCCCAUUGUUGAGUGGCCUGAGAUGAAAGGUGCACCAUUGUUAGACUUCAAUUGGUCCAGAAAGCCAAAAACAUUACACAGAUUAGUCUCAAGAAGCACAGUGGUGUGACCAAAGUUGGCUGAUUGGCCUGAAACAGUACCACUGUAACCUGAAAAAGUGUGAGACACCAUCCAUAGCCCCAGGAAGGAGUCAAAGGUCCCAUGCAUUCAGUCUCUCAGGAGUGGGCAGGGGCAAUGCCACAUACACUGUAGCCUCCUCUUCACAGGACAAACAGAUGAACAUUUGACUGGGAUCACAAAUCUGGCAUGGAGUGGUGGCCUCUGCAUCAGCAGCAUGGAGUCCUUCACUUUGUGCCCACUCUGUGUUGGUGGACGUGUUGCCAUAUCUGGUAUCAUGAUGGGUCCAGGCAGAAAUGGAGACAAUCUGGGCAGCGCAGGCUCGAACAACAGCUUGAUUCAUGUCAGUCUCAUCAGAGAAUGGGCCUUUAGCAUGGGCAUCUGCAUAAGUGAUCUAGAUAGUUUGAUCAGCCACGAUUUGUUUCCACAGUUAGCUGAGAACAUUGCCAUCCAAAGCCCUCUAUUAGGCGGCAGGGUCCUGACAUUAUCUGUCUCAUAUUUGGGGACUCCUUGACUCAGCAACCACAGCAACAUUGCUUUCCAGCUGGAGCUGCAAGGUUCACACCCUUUGGCUGACCUGGGCUUGAGUUGGUCAGUCUUGCUAACGGUUUGGCAAUUUUGUUGAUCUUCUAAAGAGCUAACUUGU